rnacentral:piRNA from 1 species
CUGAAUAAUUUGAAUCUUGGCAG